CCUACGGGAGGCAGCAGUGGGGAAUAUUGCGCAAUGGGCGAAAGCCUGACGCAGCGACGCCGCGUGAGGGAUGAAGGUCUUCGGAUCGUAAACCUCUGUCAGCAGGGAAGUACGGUCACUGUGCUAAUCAGCAGUGAAUUGACGGUACCUGCAAAGGAAGCACCGGCUAACUCCGUGCCAGCAGCCGCGGUAAUACGGAGGGUGCGAGCGUUAAUCGGAAUUACUGGGCGUAAAGCGCUCGUAGGCGGUAUGUCAAGUCAAGGGUGAAAUCCCCGCGCUCAACGUGGGAACUGCCUUUGAAACUGGCAGACUGGAGUGUGUGAGAGGAUAGUGGAAUUCGAGGGGUAGGAGUGAAAUCCGUAGAUAUCUGGAGGAACAUCAGUGGCGAAGGCGACUAUCUGGCACAUAACUGACGCUGAGGAGCGAAAGCGUGGGUAGCAAACAGGAUUAGAUACCCGUGUAGUC
rnacentral:rRNA from 1 species